rnacentral:rRNA from 1 species
UACGUAGGUGGCAAGCGUUGUCCGGAUUUACUGGGCGUAAAGAGCGCGCAGGCGGUCGAAUAAGUCGAAUGUGAAAGCCCCCGGCUUAACUGGGGAGGGUCAUUCGAUACUGCUCGACUUGAAGGCAGGAGAGGGAAGUGGAAUUCCCGGUGUAGUGGUGAAAUGCGUAGAUAUCGGGAGGAACACCAGUGGCGAAGGCGACUUCCUGGCCUGUUCUUGACGCUGAGGCGCGAAAGCUUGGGGAGCAAACGGG